rnacentral:rRNA from 1 species
AACGAACGCUGGCGGCAGGCUUAACACAUGUAAGUCGAGCGCCCCGCAAGGGGAGCGGCAGACGGGUGAGUAACGCGUGGGAAUCUACCCAUCUCUACGGAAUAACGCAUGGAAACGUGUGCUAAUACCGUAUACGUCCUUCGGGAGAAAGAUUUAUCGGAGAUGGAUGAGCCCGCGUUGGAUUAGCUAGUUGGUGGGGUAAAGGCCUACCAAGGCGAUGAUCCAUAGCUGGUCUGAGAGGAUGAUCAGCCACACUGGGACUGGGACACGGCCCAGACUCCUACGGGAGGCAGCAGUGGGGAAUAUUGGACAAUGGGCGCAAGCCUGAUCCAGCCAUGCCGCGUGAGUGAUGAAGGCCCUAGGGUUGUAAAGCUCUUUCACCGGUGAAGAUAAUGACGGUAACCGGAGAAGAAGCCCCGGCUAACUUCGUGCCAGCAGCCGCUGUAAAAC